rnacentral:misc_RNA from 1 species
UUAAGUUCAGCGGGUAUUCCUACCUGAUCCGAGGUCAACUCUAGAAAGCUGGUGCGUUUCACGGCGUGACCGUCUCCGCGCUCCGGUGCGAGGUGUGUGCUACUACGCAGGGGAGGCUGCGGCGAGGUCGCCACUGCAUUUCGGGGGCGGCCAGGGCCGGCCCCCAACGCCGGGCCCCCGGGGGGGCUCGAGGGUUGAAA